UACGGGGGGGGCAAGCGUUGUUCGGAGUUACUGGGCGUAAAGCGCGCGCAGGCGGCGGUGUUGGCCCGGCGUGAAAGCCCCCGGCUCAACCGGGGAGAGUCGUCGGGGACCGCACCGCUUGAGGGCGGUAGGGGCUGGUGGAAUGCCUGGUGUAGUGGUGAAAUGCGUAGAGAUCAGGCAGAACACCUGGGGCGAAGGCGGCCAGCUGGGCCGUCCCUGACGCUGAGGCGCGAAGGCGUGGGGAGCGAACGGG
rnacentral:rRNA from 1 species